CCUACGGGGGGCAGCAGUGGGGAAUAUUGGACAAUGGGGGCAACCCUGAUCCAGCCAUGCCGCGUGUGUGAAGAAGGCCCUCGGGUUGUAAAGCACUUUCAGUGAGGAAGAACGCCUGGUGGUUAAUACCCAUCAGGAAAGACAUCACUCACAGAAGAAGCACCGGCUAACUCCGUGCCAGCAGCCGCGGUAAUACGGAGGGUGCGAGCGUUAAUCGGAAUUACUGGGCGUAAAGCGCGCGUAGGUGGCUUGAUAAGCCGGUUGUGAAAGCCCCGGGCUCAACCUGGGAACGGCAUCCGGAACUGUCCAGCUAGAGUGCAGGAGAGGAAGGUAGAAUUCCCGGUGUAGCGGUGAAAUGCGUAGAGAUCGGGAGGAAUACCAGUGGCGAAGGCGGCCUACUGGACUGACACUGACACUGAGGUGCGAAAGCGUGGGUAGCAAACAGGAUUAGAUACCCUGGUAGUC
rnacentral:rRNA from 1 species